rnacentral:rRNA from 1 species
CCCUUAGAUGUCCUGGGCCGCACGCGCGUUACACUGAUGCAUUCAACGAGUUUCACCUUGGCCGAGAGGCCUGGGCAAUCUUUUAAACCUGCAUCGUGAUAGGGAUAGAUUAUUGCAAUUAUUAAUCUUGAACGAGGAAUUCCUAGUAAACGCAAAUCAUCAAUUUGCAUUGAUUACGUCCCUGCCCUUUGUACACACCGCCCGUCGCUCCUACCGAUUGAAUGAUCCGAUGAAUAUCAUGGAUUGAGGAUGCAAGUAGGUUCGCCUAUCUUCAUCUUCGAGAAGUGAAGUAAAUCUUAUCAUUUAGAGGAAGGAGAAGUCGUAACA